AGUAGUUUGAUCAGUGGCUCGAGGAUGAACGCUGGCGGUGUGCCUAAUACAUGCAAGUCGAGCGGCAGCAUAGUCUUCGGACUGAUGGCGAGCGGCGGACGGCAGAGUAACGCGUAGGAACAUACCCCAAACUGAGGGAUAACUGCUCGAAAGGGUAGCUAAUACCGCAUGUGGUCUUAGGACUAAAGCUUCGGCGGUUUGGGAAUGGCCUGCGUCUGAUUAGCUUGUUGGUGAGGUAAAAGCUCACCAAGGCGACGAUCGGUAGCUGGUCUGAGAGGAUGAUCAGCCUGACUGGAACUGAGAACGGUCCAGACUCCUACGGGAGGCAGCAGUAGGGAAUUUUCCACAAUGGGCGAAAGCCUGAUGGAGCAACGCCGCGUGCAGGAUGAAUGCCUUCGGGUUGUAAACUGCUUUUAUGUGCGAAGAAUUUGACGGUAACACAUGAAUAAGGGUCGGCUAACUACGUG
rnacentral:rRNA from 1 species